GCGCAAGAGGGCAAACCCAGUGCUUGCACUGGGGGUUGUAGGACUGCAAUGUGCAAGAGGUAAGUUUAGCAGAACAUUCUGGAAAGUAUAACCAUAGAGGGUGAUAGUCCCGUAUGCGAAAAACAAACCUUAGCUAGCAGUAUCCUGAGUAGGGCGGGACACGAGGAAUCCUGUCUGAAUCCGGGUCGACCACGAUCCAACCCUAAAUACUAAUACCAGAUCGAUAGUGCACAAGUACCGUGAGGGAAAGGUGAAAAGAACUGAGGUGAUCAGAGUGAAAUAGAACCUGAAACCAUUUGCUUACAAUCAUUCAGAGCCCUAUGUAGCAAUACAGGGUGAUGGACUGCCUUUUGCAUAAUGAGCCUGCGAGUUGUGGUGUCUGGCAAGGUUAAGCAAACGCGAAGCCGUAGCGAAAGCGAGUCUGAAUAGGGCGCUUAGUCAGAUGCUGCAGACCCGAAACGAAGUGAUCUAUCCAUGAGCAAGUUGAAGCUAGUGUAAGAACUAGUGGAGGACUGAACCCAUAGGCGUUGAAAAGCCCCGGGAUGACUUGUGGAUAGGGGUGAAAGGCCAAUCAAACUUCGUGAUAGCUGGUUCUCUCCGAAAUAUAUUUAGGUAUAGCGUUGUGUCGUAAUAUAAGGGGGUAGAGCACUGAAUGGGCUAGGGCAUACACCAAUGUACCAAACCCUAUCAAACUCCGAAUACCUUAUAUGUAAUCACAGCAGUCAGGCGGCGAGUGAUAAAAUCCGUCGUCAAGAGGGAAACAACCCAGACUACCAGCUAAGGUCCCUAAAUCUUACUUAAGUGGAAAACGAUGUGAAGUUACUUAAACAACCAGGAGGUUGGCUUAGAAGCAGCCAUCCUUUAAAGAAAGCGUAAUAGCUCACUGGUCUAGUGAUUUUGCGCGGAAAAUAUAACGGGGCUAAAGUAAGUACCGAAGCUGUAGACUUGCACACAACUUAGAUUAUUUAAGUUUAGAAUAUGAGAAACUAAGUUAUAUGUUUAGUUAUAUUUUUACUGAUUUUUAUAGAGUAAAGAUAGAAAUAAAACUUAGUAAAAUCAGUAAAAAUAUUCUUAGACUAAAGUUAAGUAGUUUAAGUUGUGUGCAAGUGGUAGGAGAGCGUUCUAUUUGCGUCGAAGGUAUACCGGUAAGGAGUGCUGGAGCGAAUAGAAGUGAGCAUGCAGGCAUGAGUAGCGAUAAUUAAUGUGAGAAUCAUUAACGCCGUAAACCCAAGGUUUCCUACGCGAUGCUCGUCAUCGUAGGGUUAGUCGGGUCCUAAGUCGAGUCCGAAAGGGGUAGACGAUGGCAAAUUGGUUAAUAUUCCAAUACCAACAUUAGUGUGCGAUGGAAGGACGCUUAGGGCUAAGGGGGCUAGCGGAUGGAAGUGCUAGUCUAAGGUCGUAGGAGGUUAUACAGGCAAAUCCGUAUAACAAUACUCCGAGAACUGAAAGGCUUUUUGAAGUCUUCGGAUGGAUAGAAGAACCCCUGAUGCCGUCGAGCCAAGAAAAGUUUCUAAGUUUAGCUAAUGUUGCCCGUACCGUAAACCGACACAGGUGGGUGGGAUGAGUAUUCUAAGGCGCGUGGAAGAACUCUCUUUAAGGAACUCUGCAAAAUAGCACCGUAUCUUCGGUAUAAGGUGUGGUUAGCUUUGUAUUAGGAUUUACUCCGAAAGCAAGGAAACUUACAACAAAGAGUCCCUCCCGACUGUUUACCAAAAACACAGCACUCUGCUAACUCGUAAGAGGAUGUAUAGGGUGUGACGCCUGCCCGGUGCUCGAAGGUUAAUUGAUGGGGUUAGCAUUAGCGAAGCUCUUGAUCGAAGCCCGAGUAAACGGCGGCCGUAACUAUAACGGUCCUAAGGUAGCGAAAUUCCUUGUCGGUUAAAUACCGACCUGCAUGAAUGGCGUAACGAGAUGGGAGCUGUCUCAAAGAGGGAUCCAGUGAAAUUGUAGUGGAGGUGAAAAUUCCUCCUACCCGCGGCAAGACGGAAAGACCCCGUGGACCUUUACUACAGCUUGACACUGCUACUUGGAUAAGAAUGUGCAGGAUAGGUGGGAGGCUUUGAGUAUAUGACGCCAGUUGUAUAUGAGCCAUUGUUGAGAUACCACUCUUUCUUAUUUGGGUAGCUAACCAGCUUGAGUUAUCCUCAAGUGGGACAAUGUCUGGUGGGUAGUUUGACUGGGGCGGUCGCCUCCCAAAUAAUAACGGAGGCUUACAAAGGUUGGCUCAGAACGGUUGGAAAUCGUUCGUAGAGUAUAAAGGUAUAAGCCAGCUUAACUGCAAGACAUACAAGUCAAGCAGAGACGAAAGUCGGUCUUAGUGAUCCGGUGGUUCUGUGUGGAAGGGCCAUCGCUCAAAGGAUAAAAGGUACCCCGGGGAUAACAGGCUGAUCUCCCCCAAGAGCUCACAUCGACGGGGAGGUUUGGCACCUCGAUGUCGGCUCAUCGCAUCCUGGGGCUGGAGCAGGUCCCAAGGGUAUGGCUGUUCGCCAUUUAAAGCGGUACGCGAGCUGGGUUCAGAACGUCGUGAGACAGUUCGGUCCCUAUCUGCCGUGGGCGUAAGAAGAUUGAAGAGAUUUGACCCUAGUACGAGAGGACCGGGUUGAACAAACCACUGGUGUAGCUGUUGUUCUGCCAAGAGCAUCGCAGCGUAGCUAAGUUUGGAAAGGAUAAACGCUGAAAGCAUCUAAGCGUGAAGCCAACUCUAAGAUGAAUCUUCUCUAAGCUCUCUAGAAGACUACUAGUUUGAUAGGCUGGGUGUGUAAUGGAUGAAAGUCCUUUAGCUGACCAGUACUAAUAGAGCGUUUGGCUUAUCUUUAAUAAAGCAU
rnacentral:rRNA from 1 species